rnacentral:rRNA from 1 species
UACAGAGGGGGCAAGCGUUGUUCGGAAUUACUGGGCGUAAAGGGCGCGUAGGCGGCCUGUUAAGUCGAACGUGAAAUCCCCGGGCUCAACCCGGGAACUGCGUCCGAUACUGGCAGGCUUGAAUUCGGGAGAGGGAUGUGGAAUUCCAGGUGUAGCGGUGAAAUGCGGUAGAUAUCUGGAGGAACACCGGUGGCGAAGGCGGCAUCCUGGACCGAUAUUGACGCUGAUGCGCGAAAGCCAGGGGAGCAAACGGG